UGCCGUGUAGUCUAGUGGAUAGGACGUCCCGCACGCAGUGGGAAGACCCGGGUUCGAUUCCCGGCACGGUAG
rnacentral:tRNA from 1 species